rnacentral:rRNA from 1 species
GACGAACGCUGGCGGCGUGCUUAACACAUGCAAGUCGAACGGAAAGGCCUCUUUCGGGGGGUACUCGAGUGGCGAACGGGUGAGUAACACGUGAGUAACCUGCCCUUGACUUUGGGAUAACUUCAGGAAACUGGGGCUAAUACCGGAUAGGAGCUCCUGCUGCAUGGUGGGGGUUGGAAAGUUUCGGCGGUUGGGGAUGGACUCGCGGCUUAUCAGCUUGUUGGUGGGGUAGUGGCUUACCAAGGCUUUGACGGGUAGCCGGCCUGAGAGGGUGACCGGCCACAAUGGGACUGAGAUACGGCCCAGACUCCUACGGGAGGCAGCAGUGGGGAAUAUUGCACAAUGGGUGGAAGCCUGAUGCAGCAACGCCGUGUGCGGGAUGACGGCCUUCGGGUUGUAAACCGCUUUCGCUCAUGACGAAGCUUUGUGUGACGGUAGUGGGUAAAGAAGCACCGGCUAACUACGUG